ACUGUCGCCGUUGAUUUCUCACCUUCUGGAGAAGCUCGAUGUCCUUAAUUGGGUGUCUUGCGGAACCAGGACCUUUACCUUGAAAAAAUUAGAGUGUUUAAAGCAGGCAUUAUUGCUCGAAUACAUUAGCAUGGAAUAAUAGAAUAGGACGGCAUGGUUCUAUUUUGUUGGUUUCUAGGAUCACCGUAAU
rnacentral:rRNA from 1 species